ensembl:lncRNA
CUUUUCUUUGAGUCUAAUGACAAAUCAAAAUGCUUGGUUCAAACUUAGACAAAGACACAAAAAUUCAUUUCCGUGGCAGAUAGAGUCCAAUUUGGCUAUUUGUCCAUUCAGUUCUUUCAGAUAAUGUUGGGUCAAAUUUAAAUUGAUCAUAUUUUUAAAAGAUAAUUUUAGCUUUCAAAGAUUAAAAAAAGCAACAGAAAGACAAAAUCAAGCUUCCCAAAAUGUCUACAGUGUAGCAGAGAUCAAAUAUUAUACCCGAAGAGAGUUAAUUAGAGAAAAAGUCCUGUUCCUGCCCCAUGAUGUUUUGUAUCAAUGUCUAUGAAUGUUUACAGUCAUAUUCAUGUAGUCAUCCCAAGCCCCACAGAAAAGUACACCCUUUUUUAAGAACACAGUUAAAACAGCCUAUUCUACAGCUACCACAUCUUUCUGUUCUUCCUCCGUUGUCUGCUUGUUCCUUCUAUAAUAGCUGCUGGUCUCCCCUACAUUUGCUGCUAUUUGCAGUAGCCCAUGUAUUCUCCUGUUAUAUAAUUUGAGAUGCUACUUUUUGUUCCCCCUCCUUCCCUUGCUUUCCUUCUUCUCUUAUGUGGUGUGGUGACAACACUGCUAAGUGUUAUAAGUAUUAUAGUAGCAAGUCUAAUCUAUAGGACUGUAUAUAAAUUGAACUUUGCUGGCACACCCUAUAUAUGAUUAAAGUAUAUUACGUGUGGCUAGCUUUGUCAGCUGAAUAUUAAGGAAGGUGUCUGUGCAGACUUUUAAAGUAUACUUAGAAGUGACAUAACCUUGACUCUAGCACAUAAAACCCAUACUAUUUCCUGUCCAUAGAUGAACGCUUUGCUGCAUGGUGUUUGGGGUUUCCAUUCGUGAAUCAGUCUAGAAUUUCUGCUUCAGUGAAAGUGAUAGAUAAAACAACUAUUAAAAAAAAUCCCUUUACUCUUCUUCCCAUCAGUGUGGUGAUAUAAUUCAUGUCACAGGAAGGAAGCAUGUCUGAUAAGCAGGAGAAGCAGUGGGUUUACUUACUGUUACAGAGACUAAUGAUACUCUCUUAACAGGAAGACUAGGAGUUGUCAGUAAACGUUCAGUUGCUGUCAAGUGGUCACUGGAGAAACAUUUUGCAUUUACACACAUCAUCUGGUGUGGGUACCCAUCUGCAAAGGAGUGAAAGAAUUUGGAUUAUUUAAUUGCAGAUACGUGGGUUCUACACUGAUUUCACUGGAAGUAGGAACAGUCCUACAGCUGCCCCAGAGGACACGUGGCACUAAGUUUAGUAACUCAGAGAGAAACUUCCAUAUAACCGUGCAAGAGCCUGAUGAAACCCCACUGGGAAUUCUGCAUAUAUUUCUGCUACACCAUGAUAAAGAAAGGUGAA